rnacentral:rRNA from 1 species
CCUACGGGUGGCAGCAGUGAGGAAUAUUGGUCAAUGGGCGCGAGCCUGAACCAGCCAAGUAGCGUGAAGGAUGACUGCCCUACGGGUUGUAAACUUCUUUUAUAAAGGAAUAAAGUGAGGCACGUGUGCCUUUUUGUAUGUACUUUAUGAAUAAGGAUCGGCUAACUACGUGCCAGCAGCCGCGGUAAUACGGAGGAUCCGAGCGUUAUCCGGAUUUAUUGGGUUUAACGGGAGCGUAGAUGGGUGUUUAAGUCAGUUGUGAAAGUUUGCGGCGCAACCGUAAAAUUGCAAUUGAUACUGGAAGUCUUGAGUACAGUAGAGGUAGGUGGAAUUCGUGGUGUAGCGGUGAAAUGCUUAGAUAUCAGGAAGAACUCCGGUUGCGAAGGCAGCUUACUAAACUGUCACUGACAUUGAUGCUCGAAAGUGUGGGUAUCAAACAGGAUUAGAUACCCCUGUAGUC